rnacentral:rRNA from 1 species
UAGGGAAUCUUCCACAAUGGGCGCAAGCCUGAUGGAGCAACGCCGCGUGAGUGAAGAAGGGUUUCGGCUCGUAAAGCUCUGUUGUUAAAGAAGAACGUGGGUAAGAGUAACUGUUUACCCAGUGACGGUAUUUAACCAGAAAGCCACGGCUAACUACGUGUCAG